GGUUUUCCUGCUGGGAUCAGAAGAUCAUCAGAACCUUUUGGACCUUCUUUGUUUCCCAUCCACAGUCUGGAUCUGGACCUGAACCUGCAUUCAUCCAAUCAGGAAGCAGAAAGACACCAGAACCUGCGCUUGUGAUUCAGGUGUGAUGAUGGACGAGCCGAGCUAACGAUGGGAUCGGUCGUGUCGUUCUUUAGAAAGUUGUGUGGAGGGGAGAAGCAGAAAGAGGAGGAGAGACGCCUGCGAGCGAAUGACCGAGCUUUCAACCAGACCUUUCAAUACGGUGUAAGAACGCACUGAACCAGGGACACUUUCUAAUGCUACUCAUCGUUUUGGCUGCUGUUGGAAGAGGAAAGAGACA